GGCCUAACACAUGCAAGUCGAGCGCCCCCGCAAGGGGGAGCGGCGGACGGGUGAGUAACGCGUGGGAAUUUUCCUCAAGGUACGGAACAACUCAGGGAAACUUGGGCUAAUACCGUAUGAUGUCUAGCGACCAAAGAUUUAUCGCCUUGGGAUAAGCCCGCGUCAGAUUAGGUAGUUGGUGGGGUAACGGCCUACCAAGCCUGCGAUCUGUAGCUGGUCUGAGAGGACGAUCAGCCACACUGGGACUGAGACACGGCCCAGACUCCUACGGGAGGCAGCAGUGGGGAAUCUUGCGCAAUGGGCGAAAGCCUGACGCAGCCAUGCCGCGUGAAUGAUGAAGGUCUUAGGAUUGUAAAGUUCUUUCGCUCGUGACGAUGAUGACGGUAACGAGAGAAGAAGCCCCGGCUAACUUCGUGCCAGCAGCCGCGGUAAUACGAAGGGGGCUAGCGUUGUUCGGAAUUACUGGGCGUAAAGCGCGCGUAGGCGGUUUUGCAAGCCAGAGGUGAAAUGCCUGAGCUCAACUUAGGAAUUGCCUUUGGGACUGCGAGGCUUUGAGGACUGGAGAGGUGAGUGGAAUUCCCAGUGUAGAGGUGAAAUUCGUAGAUAUUGGGAAGAACACCGGUGGCGAAGGCGGCUCACUGGCCAGUUUCUGACGCUGUAGCGCGAAAGCGUGGGGAUCAAACAGGAUUAGAUACCCUGGUAGUCCACGCCGUAAACGAUGAGUGCUAGGCG
rnacentral:rRNA from 1 species